GGAUAGAUGUCUGAGCGGUUGAAAGAGUCGGUCUUGAAAACUAAAGUAUUUUUCAAAAUACCGGGGGUUCGAAUCCUUCUCCAUCCG
rfam:Capsicum annuum cultivar Zunla-1 chromosome 9, whole genome shotgun sequence